rnacentral:tRNA from 1 species
CAGAAGGUAGUUUAAAUUAGAAUACCAGUUUUGGGUAUUGGUGGUGGAGCUAGCGCUUUCUUUCUGA